rnacentral:rRNA from 1 species
UACGGGGGGGGUAAGCGUUGUUCGGAAUUACUGGGCGUAAAGGGCUCGUAGGCGGCCAACUAAGUCAGACGUGAAAUCCCUCAGCUUAACUGGGGAACUGCGUCUGAUACUGGAUGGCUUGGAUCCGGGAGAGGGACGUGGAAUUCCAGGUGUAGCGGUGAAAUGCGUAGAUAUCUGGAGGAACACCGGUGGCGAAGGCGACGUCCUGGACCGGCAUUGACGCUGAGGCGCGAAAGCCAGGGAGCAACGGG